CCCUUUUUUUUCCCCUCUUUUUUUGUAGUGGAAGUCAAGAAAAGCUGUUGUUCACAAACUGCUUUGGUUACACAGCUUCCAUAUUUCUGAAUGAAGGGAAGAGAAGAACUCAGAGAAGAAGCUUUCAAAGAAAGAUGGAAGGGAGAAGGAAGAGAGGAGGGAGGAAGGGAUGAAGAGAGAAAAGAAAAAAAGAAAGAAAGAAAGAAGGAAAAUAGUGAGAAUUGAACUGAAGCUCAGAAAACUAUGAUGGAAAAAAAAAUUGAACUGUUGUUCUAUUGUGCCACAAAACUAUUUUCUGCAAAAGAGAAAAAAAAGAAAAGAAAAGAGGGAGAGAUUGAGAGA
ensembl:lncRNA